rnacentral:rRNA from 1 species
CACGUAGGCACCAAGCGUUGUCCGGAUUUAUUGGGCGUAAAGAGCUCGUAGGCGGUUCGGUAAGUCGGGUGUGAAAACUUUGGGCUCAACCCAAAGCGUGCACUCGAUACUGCUGUGACUAGAGUUCGGUAGGGGAGUGGGGAAUUCCUAGUGUAGCGGUGAAAUGCGCAGAUAUUAGGAGGAACACCGGUGGCGAAGGCGCCACUCUGGGCCGAAACUGACGCUGAGGAGCGAAAGCGUGGGUAGCAAACAGG